rnacentral:rRNA from 1 species
UACGUAGGGCGCAAGCGUUAUCCGGAAUUAUUGGGCGUAAAGCGCGCGCAGGCGGUCCUUUAAGUCUGAUGUGAAAGCCCACGGCUCAACCGUGGAGGGUCAUUGGAAACUGGGGGACUUGAGUGCAGAAGAGGAAAGCGGAAUUCCACGUGUAGCGGUGAAAUGCGUAGAGAUGUGGAGGAACACCAGUGGCGAAGGCGGCUUCUGGUCUGUAACUGACGCUGAGGCGCGAAAGCGUGGGGAGCAAACAGG